rnacentral:lncRNA from 1 species
AAAUAACGAUACUUUCAGAUACAUACUUCAUGUUGCAAAUUUAUCAUCAUACGUCAAUCAUGUUUCAGCAACUUGAUCAAACAAUGAAUGAAGAAUUAGUUGAUAUCACAAUGAUGUAAUUUCUCCUUCACCUGAAGGUCCACAUGAAGCACAUUUUCUUUACCUAAUCUAUUACAUCCCAUCUUCCUACAAAAAAAUGGAAGUGAUUGUACAAAUUUAUCUGUUACUCAUGUAUAAUGGCUUGUCCUAUUUGUCACCAGACUACUCCACUAAAUAUUGAGCUUCACAAUAGUCCCAACAAUCAUCCUAAAUGAUUUUACCAUCUUCCUCUCCAACAAUUGUGUGGAGCUGCCAAAGUUGUGGACUUCAAAAAAAUACAUUGAACAUGAGCAUUGAUGGAAAGGGAACAGUUGCAACAUGAUCACGAUCUAACCUUGUGGCGCAAAAUCUCUUUCACCCUUUGCCAACUCCUUUGGUGUCUCCCUCCUUUCUCCCAGCUUCAUCGCCUCCCUCCUUCCUCAUCCCCCAUCUUUCUCCUUCCCUUGUCGCGUCAUCUCCCUUGGUGUCUAUCAUUCAUACCCCCCAACUUGCUACCAUUAUUUCCUCCUACCUUCCAUAACACCUAGCAUAGUCUGUGUUGCUGCAUACUGUUGAACAAGAAAAAACAAAAAAAAUCGUAGAGCACCUUUGUGAAGAGUGAGAAACUACAACAAUUAGGAGUCACCUUUGCCCUACUGAAAGAUAUUUUAUGUUAAUGUCAAGCAAAAUAGCCGGAAAACGUACACAGAAAAUUGAUAAGUUCAAAGGCAAAAAACACCAUUAUUUGAAGUUCACCAUCAUUUGGAAAUCUACUUUGAACUUUAGCAAGUCUAUGGAAACUUGACCAUGGAUGCAUUAUAAUGUUUCUUGGGUGUACUUUAUCCAUGCUAGUUGGCUGAUAAAUUUACAUAAACAUUUUUGUCCUGUGAAAGCCAUUUUGUAAUUGCUCCAACUAAAGCGGGAAAAAAGACAAGAGUUAAAGAAUUCACCAAUAGGAGAUCUUAUUGAUAUUUCUUAUUCCCUUAUAGAUCAUAAACACAUGUAGAUCAACUACAUACAAUUCAAAGGUUUUUCAUUUAAAGUGGAGGUCGAGGCACACACACCUAUACUCAAUCAACAUGACUGAUGGUGCUCCUAGAUUAUUGCCACAAUAUCAGUGAGCUCCUUUAGGUAGCCGAAGAAAGCAACCUAAAUGGAAAAGGAGGUCCAUUUAAUACAAAUGAAGUAGCACAAAUCAUCAUAAGUAUAAUGUGCAACCAACCGUAAAUUAACUUUUUCUAAUGACCAAAGUUGUACAACAAGUUAAGCUCAUACCUGUUUUUAUUGAUUUUGAACUGAAAAUCAAAUUACCCAUCUGCUCCGCCGCACGCACCCUCACCACAUCUACCACGGACUGCCCUCUAGGAUAGGCUAACAAAGGUCCUGGUGAUGCCAAACAUGACCUGCCGCCGCCGGAGCCGACAGGCAGCAUAUAGUUGCACUGCCAGAAGUCGUUGGC